UAUGAUAUUAGGUAGAAAAUAGCAGAAGAAAGGAAGAAAUAGACCUCCAGUGAAUCUGAAAUUUAAUUGUUUGACAGUUUAGAGAUGCGGUGCGGCAAAACAACAAACAAGAACUCCACCAAAGAAUGAAAAACAGGGCCUAGACCGGAAAAUUGAACAGGCAACUCGUCUUGGGUGGUGUCUAUGGUGGUUAUUUUACAAUAUGGUCGAUGACGGAUUCAUGUUGGUUUUAAUAUGGCUUCAGGUAUAAAACUAUAUUAUCGAUGGAUUAUUAGAAGAAAGAUGAAUUAUAAUGGUUUAUAUAUUGAAAAAUG
rnacentral:lncRNA from 1 species